GAUGAGCAUGCGUCCCAUUAGCUAGUUGGUAAGGUAACGGCUUACCAAGGCUACGAUGGGUAGGGGUCCUGAGAGGGAGAUCCCCCACACUGGUACUGAGACACGGACCAGACUCCUACGGGAGGCAGCAGUGAGGAAUAUUGGACAAUGGGCGCAAGCCUGAUCCAGCCAUGCCGCGUGCAGGAUGACGGUCCUAUGGAUUGUAAACUGCUUUUAUACGAGAAGAAACACUGCUUCGUGAAGCAGCUUGACGGUAUCGUAAGAAUAAGGAUCGGCUAACUCCGUGCCAGCAGCCGCGGUAAUACGGAGGAUCCAAGCGUUAUCCGGAAUCAUUGGGUUUAAAGGGUCCGUAGGCGGUUUGGUAAGUCAGUGGUGAAAGCCCAUCGCUCAACGGUGGAACGGCCAUUGAUACUGCCAGACUUGAAUUAUUAGGAAGUAACUAGAAUAUGUAGUGUAGCGGUGAAAUGCUUAGAGAUUACAUGGAAUACCAAUUGCGAAGGCAGGUUACUACUAGUGGAUUGACGCUGAU
rnacentral:rRNA from 1 species